GUCAGGAUGGCCGAGUGGUCUAAGAUACCUGAUUUCAUGACUUACGUCUUUCCAUUGCUUGGGUGUUCUGGUCUCUGACUUGGGGUGGGGGUUCAAAUCCCGCUCCUGACA
rnacentral:tRNA from 1 species